rnacentral:rRNA from 1 species
UACGUAGGGUGCGAGCGUUGUCCGGAAUUAUUGGGCGUAAAGAGCUCGUAGGCGGUCUGUCGCGUCGAUCGUGAAAACUUGGGGCUUAACCCUGAGCUUGCGGUCGAUACGGGCAUGACUGGAGUUCGGCAGGGGAGACUGGAAUUCCUGGUGUAGCGGUGAAAUGCGCAGAUAUCAGGAGGAACACCAGCGGCGAAGGCGGCGCUCUGGGCCUUGCCUGACGCUGAGGCGCGAAAGCUAGGGGUGCGAACAGG